GGGGGCGCACUGGUUUCGACGGGGGUAGAUGAGAUCAUAGUUGCAUGCCGAGGACUCCGCCGGCCUCGUAAAAAAGCGGAACUCAAUUUAUUUGCCAACGAUUACGAAGUGGCACUGGCUGCUUAAUAAGCCAGCGUCCUCCCAUCACUUGUCUACAGUGGUGGGGUAGGGCGUCAUGAUGUAGACUAGCCCUGCUUUCCUCCCGCCUGGGAGGAUGGUUGCGCGAAAUUUAAACCAGGCUAGCAUCUUUCUUGCCCGGCUGGGGUGGUUGGGAAAUGCGAAACUUAUACCCCGGACAAGCAUGUAGAGGCUAUGGUCGAAGGCUUCCGGACGCGGGUUCGAUUCCCGCCGCCUCCAUUU
rnacentral:tmRNA from 1 species